UAAGUGAAGAGUUUGAUCCUGGCUCAGAGUGAACGCUGGCGGUAGGCCUAACACAUGCAAGUCGAACGGCAGCACAGGAGAGCUUGCUCUCUGGGUGGCGAGUGGCGGACGGGUGAGGAAUACAUCGGAAUCUACUCUGUCGUGGGGGAUAACGUAGGGAAACUUACGCUAAUACCGCAUACGACCUACGGGUGAAAGCAGGGGACCUUCGGGCCUUGCGCGAUUGAAUGAGCCGAUGUCGGAUUAGCUAGUUGGCGGGGUAAAGGCCCACCAAGGCGACGAUCCGUAGCUGGUCUGAGAGGAUGA
rnacentral:rRNA from 2 species